rnacentral:rRNA from 1 species
AGUGAACGCUGGCGGUAGGCCUAACACAUGCAAGUCGAACGGCAGCACAGUAAGAGCUUGCCCUUACGGGUGGCGAGUGGCGGACGGGUGAGGAAUACAUCGGAAUCUACUUUUUCGUGGGGGAUAACGUAGGGAAACUUACGCUAAUACCGCAUACGACCUACGGGUGAAAGCAGGGGAUCUUCGGACCUUGCGCGAUUGAAUGAGCCGAUGUCGGAUUAGCUAGUUGGCGGGGUAAAGGCCCACCAAGGCGACGAUCCGUAGCUGGUCUGAGAGGAUGAUCAGCCACACUGGAACUGAGACACGGUCCAGACUCCUACGGGAGGCAGCAGUGGGGAAUAUUGGACAAUGGGCGCAAGCCUGAUCCAGCCAUACCGCGUGGGUGAAGAAGGCCUUCGGGUUGUAAAGCCCUUUUGUUGGGAAAGAAAAGCAGCAGGUUAAUACCCCGCUGUUCUGACGGUACCCAAAGAAUAAGCACCGGCUAACUGCGU